rnacentral:lncRNA from 1 species
GAAUAAGAUUUUUCUCUCUAUUAUUGAGAGAAAAAUUUUCUCGUGCUAGUUGCUUUUGGUAGUGAUAAAGGCGCCCACACGUCAAGUGCAGAUCGAAUCUGAGUCAUAACCUGGAAGAUCAUUGGUGACAGUUCGUGAUCUAACAAGCGUGGUGGUGACGGAUCGUGAUCUAACAGGAGUGGUGGUGGCGGAUCGUGAUCUAGGAGUCUAAAUCACUUCAGCGGAAAAAACCAACUCGG